GACGAACGCUGGCGGCGUGCUUAACACAUGCAAGUCGAGCGGAAAGGCCCUUCGGGGUACUCGAGCGGCGAACGGGUGAGUAACACGUGAGUAACCUGCCCCCUUCUCUGGGAUAAGCCUGGGAAACUGGGUCUAAUACCGGAUACGACCACCGUGGGCAUCUUCUGGUGGUGGAAAGUUUUUCGGUGGGGGAUGGGCUCGCGGCCUAUCAGCUUGUUGGUGGGGUGAUGGCCUACCAAGGCGACGACGGGUAGCCGGCCUGAGAGGGCGACCGGCCACACUGGGACUGAGACACGGCCCAGACUCCUACGGGAGGCAGCAGUGGGGAAUAUUGCACAAUGGGCGGAAGCCUGAUGCAGCGACGCCGCGUGGGGGAUGACGGCCUUCGGGUUGUAAACCUCUUUCACCAGCGACGAAUUCAGACGGUAGCUGGGGAAGAAGCGCCGGCUAACUACGUGCCAGCAGCCGCCGUAAAAC
rnacentral:rRNA from 1 species